rnacentral:rRNA from 1 species
UACAGAGGUCCCAAGCGUUGUUCGGAUUCACUGGGCGUAAAGGGUGCGUAGGUGGCCGGGUAAGUUUGAUGUGAAAUCUCCGGGCUUAACCCGGAAACUGCAUUGAAUACUAUCCCGCUCGAGGAUUGGAAGGGAGACUGGAAUACUUGGUGUAGCAGUGAAAUGCGUAGAUAUCAAGUGGAACACCAGUGGCGAAGGCGAGUCUCUGGACAAUUCCUGACACUGAGGCACGAAAGCUAGGGGAGCAAACAGG